AACGCACAUUGCGCCCGCUGGUAUUCCGGCGGGCAUGCCUGUUCGAGCGUCAUUAUGACCAAUCAAGCUCUGCUUGGCCUUGGGGCCCGCUGUACCGGCGGCCCUUAAAAUCAGUGGCAGUGCCGUCUGGCUCUAAGCGUAGUGAUUUCUCUCGCUUGGAAGUCUGGCGGUGGCUUGCCAACAACCCCCAACUUUUUACUAGGUUGACCUCGGAUCAGGUAGGGAUACCCGCUGAACUUAA
rnacentral:misc_RNA from 1 species